GCAAACAUCACAAACACAGCAAGAAAGAGAAGAAACUUCGCAAGGAAGUGAAACCAAUGGAUGCUUGAAAGUCGUUUUUGACUGCUUUUCCUUCUUUUUUUCCCACUUCUUCUUCUUUUUCUACUCAUUCUCCUUUUGGCGGAAAACAAAAACUGGAACAGAUGCGACAUGGUUGCAUUCUAGCAUUG
rnacentral:RNase_P_RNA from 12 species